rnacentral:rRNA from 1 species
CACGUAGGGGGCAAGCGUUGUCCGGAUUUAUUGGGCGUAAAGAGCUCGUAGGUGGUUCGGUAAGUCGGGUGUUAAACCCCCAGGCUCAACCUGGGGACGCCACUCGAUACUGCUGUGACUAGAGUCCGGUAGGGGAGCGUGGAAUUCCUGGUGUAGCGGUGAAAUGCGCAGAUAUCAGGAGGAACACCGAUGGCGAAGGCAGGUCUCUGGGCCACUACUGACGCUGAGAAGCGAAAGCAUGGGGAGCGAACAGG